rnacentral:rRNA from 1 species
GCAAGUCGCACGCAGGAGCUUCGGCUUCUGAGUGGCGCACGGCUGAGGAACACGUGGGAACCAGCCCUCCAGUGGGGGAUAACGGCGCGAAAGCGCCGCUAAUCCCGCAUACGCUCGCCCAUUCCGGGCGAGGAAAGCCGCAAGGCGCUGGAGGAUGGGCCCGCGGCCCAUCAGGUUGUUGGUGGGGUAAUGGCCUACCAAGCCACUGACGGGUAGCUGGUCUGUGAGGACAACCAGCCAGACUGGGACUGAGACACGGCCCAGACUCCUACGGGAGGCAGCAGCAAGGAAUUUUCGGCAAUGGGCGCAAGCCUGACCGAGCAACGCCGCGUGCAGGACGACGGCCUUCGGGUUGUAAACUGCUUUUCGAGGGGAAGAUACGGACGGUACCCUCGGAAUAAGCCACGGCUAACUCUGUGCCAGCAGCCGCGGUAAGACAGAGGUGGCAAGCGUUGUCCGGACUGACUGGGCGUAAAGCGCACGCAGGCGGUCGUGCAAGUGGGGUGUGAAAGCGGGCCGCUUAACGGCCCGAGGCCAUCUCAGACUGCUCGACUGGAGAGCGGCAGAGGUCGGUGGAAUUGCCGGUGUAGUGGUGAAAUGGCGUAGAGAUCGGCAGGAACACCCAGGGGGAAACCAGCCGACUGGGCCGCUACUGACGCUGAGGUGCGAAAGCGUGGGGAGUGAACUGGAUUAGAUACCCAGGUAAUCCACGCCGUAAACGAUGGACGCUCGGCAUCUGGGGCGGGUAUCCCCCGCCCGGGGUGCCUCAGCUAACGCGGUAAGCGUCCCGCCUGGGAACUACGAGCGCAAGCUUAAACUCAANGGAAUUGA